rnacentral:piRNA from 1 species
UUUUAUAUGAAGACAACUAAA